rnacentral:rRNA from 1 species
ACUUUCAGCGACGGAUGUCUUGGCUCCCACAACGAUGAAGAACGCAGCGAAAUGCGAUACGUCUUGCGACUUGCAGAAUCCAGUGAAUCAUCAAAACUUUGAACGCACCUUGCGCUUCCGGGAUACUCCUGGGAGCAUGCUUGUCGGAGUGUC